rnacentral:snRNA from 1 species
GUCGCUUCUCGGUCUUUUGGCUAAUGUCAAGUGUAGUGUCUGUUCUCAUCAGUUUAAUAUCUGAUACAGCUUCUAUUUGUGGGCUAUGUAUUAAAUUGAUUUUUUUGGAACAGGGAGAGGGACUAGGUGUUUGCUCCAUCCACUCCAUGCAUCAACCUGGUAUUGCAGUAUUUCCAGGAUUGGUGCACUUUCA